GGAUCAGGUAGAGGUGCAGACUUUAUAAGUAGUUGCUUCCUUUAAAGGAGAAUCGGGAGGCAGCAAAAGGAAAGUUUGCCGAAGGCCGAUCGAUCUCUCCUAAAUUGAUCGGACCUGGGCCGUCGAAAAACAUUCGGCGGACUGUCACUGAACAGUGGAGCGCUACCCGAGGU
rfam:Parasutterella excrementihominis CAG:233 genomic scaffold, scf176